GGAUCAUUACAGAGAACAUCGCCCUCACGGGUGACUCUCCAACCCUAUGUUAUUAAAACCUUUGUUGCUUUGGCGAGCCGCUUCGGCCACCGGCGUCUGCUGGUGUGCGCUCGCCAGAGGACCACAAAACUCUUGUAAUUAAUGUCGUCUGAGUACUAUAUAAUAGUUAAAACUUUCAACAACGGAUCUCUUGGUUCUGGCAUCGAUGAAGAACGCAGCGAAAUGCGAUAAGUAAUGUGAAUUGCAGAAUUCAGUGAAUCAUCGAAUCUUUGAACGCACAUUGCGCCCCGUGGUAUUCCGCGGGGCAUGCCUGUUCGAGCGUCAGUACAACACUCAAGCUCUGCUUGGUCUUGGACCGCAUCAGUUCUGAUCGGUCUUAAAAUCAGUGGCGGUGCCAUCGUGCUCUAAGCGUAGUAAUACUCCUCGCUACAGGGUCCCGGUGCGUGCUUGCCAGCAACCCCCAACUUCCAAGUUUGACCUCGGAUCAGGUAGGGAUACCCGCUGAACUUAAGCAUAUCAAUAAGCGGAGGAAAAGAAACCAACCACGGGAUUACCUCAGUAACGGCGAGUGAAGCGGUAACAGCUCAAAUUUGAAAUCUGGGUCUUUCAGGCUCCGAGUUGUAAUUUGUAGAAGAUGCUUCGGGUGUGGCUCCGGUCUAAGUUCCUUGGAACAGGACGUCAUAGAGGGUGAGAAUCCCGUACGUGACUGGUUGCCUUCGCCCAUGUGAAGCUCUUUCGACGAGUCGAGUUGUUUGGGAAUGCAGCUCAAAAUGGGUGGUAAAUUUCAUCUAAAGCUAAAUAUUGGCCAGAGACCGAUAGCGCACAAGUAGAGUGAUCGAAAGAUGAAAAGCACUUUGGAAAGAGAGUUAAACAGUACGUGAAAUUGUUGAAAGGGAAGCGCUUGCAACCAGACUUGCACGCUGCUGAUCAUCCGGGGUUCUCCCCGGUGCACUCGGUUGCGUUCAGGCCAGCAUCGGUUUGGGUGGUUGGAUAAAGGCCUUGGGAAUGUAGCUUCUUUCGGGGAGUGUUAUAGCCCUCGGUGCAAUGCAGCCUACCCGGACCGAGGACCGCGCUUCGGCUAGGAUGCUGGCGUAAUGGUUGUAAGCGACCCGUCUUGAAACACGGACCAAGGAGUCUAACAUCUAUGCGAGUGUUUGGGUGUCAAACCCAUACGCGUAAUGAAAGUGAACGGAGGUGAGAACCCUUAAGGGUGCAUCAUCGACCGAUCCUGAUGUCUUCGGAUGGAUUUGAGUAAGAGCAUAGCUGUUGGGACCCGAAAGAUGGUGAUCUAUACUUGAAUAGGGUGAAGCCAGAGGAAACUCUGGUGGAGGCUCGCAGCGGUUCUGACGUGCAAAUCGAUCGUCAAAUUUGAGUAUAGGGGCGAAAGACUAAUCGAACCAUUGGCGUUGCUAGGUGGUUAAGAGGGGUGUUCAAAGCACCUACUAGUCCUCUGUUGCAGGCAACACUAUCAAAUUGCAGGGACCUCCCCGCAAAAAACUGAGCUACCGCAGCACUGCCGAAAAGGCGUGCGCGCACCAGGUUAAUCACCUUGGGGAUGGUAACAACGCUCAGUUUAUGGAAUAUCUGCAGCCAAGUCCUAACGAUGAAAAUCCAUGGAUGCAGUUCACAGACUAAAUGGUAGUGGGCCGGGUUCCUCGAACCCGGUUUAAGUUAUAGUCGAACCCCCGAGAGAUCGGGGCAGUCAGGAGGAAUACGCAGGGGAACAAUUGGGCCCCCCAAUCCCUGCGUAGGAGAGCCUGGCUGGAGGAAGCGUGGGGUGUCGCUUCCCUUGGGUAGUCCCCGAGAACCUGGGGGUGUUGG
rnacentral:rRNA from 2 species